GACGAACGCUGGCGGCGUGCUUAACACAUGCAAGUCUAACGAGAAUCUGCGGAAAGAGGAUUCGUCCAAUUGAAGCAGAGGACAGUGGCGGACGGGUGAGUAACGCGUGAGGAACCUGCCUUUCAGAGGGGGACAACAGUUGGAAACGACUGCUAAUACCGCAUGACAUAUAGAUGUCGCAUGGCAUUUAUAUCAAAGAUUUAUCGCUGAAAGAUGGCCUCGCGUCUGAUUAGCUAGUUGGUGAGGUAACGGCCCACCAAGGCGACGACCAGUAGCCGGACUGAGAGGUUGAACGGCCACAUUGGGACUGAGAUACGGCCCAGACUCCUACGGGAGGCAGCAGUGGGGAAUAUUGGGCAAUGGGCGCAAGCCUGACCCAGCAACGCCGCGUGAAGGAAGAAGGCUUUCGGGUUGUAAACUUCUUUUGUCAGGGACGAGUAGAAGACGGUACCUGACGAAUAAGCCACGGCUAACUACGUGCCAGCAGCCGCGGUAAUACGUAGGUGGCAAGCGUUGUCCGGAUUUACUGGGUGUAAAGGGCGUGUAGCCGGGAGGGCAAGUCAGAUGUGAAAUCCACGGGCUCAACUCGUGAACUGCAUUUGAAACUACUCUUCUUGAGUAUCGGAGAGGCAAUCGGAAUUCCUAGUGUAGCGGUGAAAUGCGUAGAUAUUAGGAGGAACACCAGUGGCGAAGGCGGAUUGCUGGACGACAACUGACGGUGAGGCGCGAAAGCGUGGGGAGCAAACAGGAUUAGAUACCCUGGUAGUCCACGCUGUAAACGAUGAAUACUAGGUGUGCGGGGACUGACCCCCUGCGUGCCGCAGCUAACGCAAUAAGUAUUCCACCUGGGGAGUACGAUCGCAAGGUUGCAACUCA
rnacentral:rRNA from 1 species